AUUGAACGCUGGCGGCAUGCUUUACACAUGCAAGUCGAACGGUAACAGGCCUUCGGGUGCUGACGAGUGGCGAACGGGUGAGUAAUGCAUCGGAACGUGCCCAGAGGUGGGGGAUAACGCAGCGAAAGCUGUGCUAAUACCGCAUGUGAUCUGAGGAUGAAAGCGGGGGACCAAGCAGCAAUGUUUGGCCUCGCGCCUCUGGAGCGGCCGAUGUCAGAUUAGGUAGUUGGUGGGGUAAAGGCCUACCAAGCCGACGAUCUGUAGCUGGUCUGAGAGGACGACCAGCCACACUGGGACUGAGACACGGCCCAGACUCCUACGGGAGGCAGCAGUGGGGAAUUUUGGACAAUGGGCGCAAGCCUGAUCCAGAAAUGCCGCGUGCGGGAAGAAGGCCUUCGGGUUGUAAACCGCUUUUGUACGGAACGAAAAGGCUCUGGCUAAUACCUGGGGCUGAUGACGGUACCGUAAGAAUAAGCACCGGCUAACUACGUG
rnacentral:rRNA from 1 species